rnacentral:lncRNA from 1 species
UUUGUGAGCAAUAGAAGUUGUACCAUGUGCUUCGUUUCUUUAUGUGUAUAUGGUUGUUGUAUGUGUUGCAUUAGGGAGUUGUAAGCGGUAUUUUCUGAAACCAUUUGCUGGUAUUCUGUUAUGAGUUUAAGAACCAGGUCGUGGCUUACAUUGUACCAUUCCUCAUAAUAAUACUUCCAUCACUGGUUUUACCCUAAAGAGAUGCACAUUUGAAGAGAGACUCAGAGGAAGGUAUAGAGACAUUGAGAGAGAGAGAGAGAGAGAGAAAGCGGUGUAUAGAGAGAUCGAUGAAAGGAAUCCGACCACCCCAAUCGAUGAAGGGGAUGAUGGCGACGUCUUAAGGCUGAGUUCUCCGCCGACUUCAGCAAACACAUUUUUUGGUAGAGAGCAUACCAGAUUGGAUAUUGUGUGCCACUGAUUUGUACUCGAACCCUAAUUUCAUAAGGGUUUAGACUGGGAUUUCUCUCAGGUUUUUGACUAAAUUGUUGCUGGUGAAGAGGUUUAGGAAGUGUGAUGUUACAAUUUCUUGCGCACAGGUUAGAAGUUUAUCUGAGCAAAGAAAAUUUAAAGGAGGUGCAUUUUAGUAAUAGGUUUUAUAAAAUAAAAUACAUGUAAUCUUACUUAGAAAUGUAUUUAUUCAUUGCACCAAACAUGAACUUAUGUUGACCGUUUCUGUUUGACAAAUUUGAAGUUCAAAAGAUUUUGAACAAAAAACAAUCAACCUGCUUUGUUUAUUCUUGGCCAUUACUGUUAAUUGAGGCGAG